rnacentral:rRNA from 1 species
UACGGGGGGGGUAAGCGUUGUUCGGAAUUACUGGGCGUAAAGCGCACGUAGGCGGUGCUGUAAGUGUCAGGUGAAAUCCCACGGCUCACCCGUGGAACUGCCUGGCAGACUGCGGUACUAGAGUGUGGUAGGGGAGAGCGGAACUCCUGGUGGAGCGGUGAAAUGCGUAGAUAUCAGGAGGAACACCGGUGGCGAAGGCGGCUCUCUGGUCCACAACUGACGCUGAGGUGCGAAAGCUAGGGGAGCAAACGGG